AAUAAGAUGCCUGAAUUUAAAAGGAUUAUUUUGAUAGAAUAAAUUAUGUAAAAAAAUUACUCUUAUUG
rnacentral:tRNA from 1 species